GAGUUUGAUCAUGGCUCAGGAUGAACGCUAGCUACAGGCUUAACACAUGCAAGUCAGGGGCAGCAUUAUCGAAGCUUGCUUUGAUAGAUGGCGACCGGCGCACGGGUGAGUAACGCGUAUCCAACUUCCCCUUAGUAGGGCAUAGCCCGUAGAAAUGCGGAUUAAUACCCUAUGUUGUAUUAUGAGGACAUCUGAAAGAUACCAAAGGUUUACCGCUAAGGGAUGGGGAUGCGUCUGAUUAGGUUGUUGGCGGGUAACGGCCCACCAAGCCUGCGAUCAGUAGGGGUUCUGAGAGGAAGGUCCCCCACAUUGGAACUGAGACACGGUCCAAACUCCUACGGGAGGCAGCAGUGAGGAAUAUUGGUCAAUGGGCGAGAGCCUGAACCAGCCAAGUAGCCGUGCAGGAUGACGGCCCUAUGGGUUGUAAACUGCUUUUAUACAGGGAUAAAGUCGGGGACGUGUCCCCGUUUGUAGGUACUGUAUGAAUAAGGACCGGCUAAUUCCGUGCCAGCAGCGGC
rnacentral:rRNA from 1 species